GCGAGUAUGGCCCUCACGGGUCUAAUUCCACCACCAAACACCUUUGUGAACCAGUCAGGGGGACUCGGCCGUGAAAGCCCAGGCGAUUAGCGGAAGGGCCCUCCUUUGCAAACCCGUUUAGAAGUCUUGAAAGUACUUUUGUAUAAUCUAGUA
rnacentral:misc_RNA from 1 species